rnacentral:rRNA from 1 species
AUUGAACGCUGGCGGCAUGCCUUACACAUGCAAGUCGAACGGUAACAGGUCUUCGGAUGCUGACGAGUGGCCAACGGGUGAGUAAUACAUCGGAACGUGCCCGAUCGUGGGGGAUAACGAAGCGAAAGCUUUGCUAAUACCGCAUAAGAUCUACGGAUGAAAGCAGGGGACCGCAAGGCCUUGCGCGAACGGAGCGGCCGAUGGCAGAUUAGGUAGUUGGUGGGAUAAAAGCUUACCAAGCCGACGAUCUGUAGCUGGUCUGAGAGGACGACCGGCCACACUGGGACUGAGACACGGCGCAGACUCCUACGGGAGGCAGCAGUGGGGAAUUUUGGACAAUGGGCGAAAGCCUGAUCCAGCCAUGCCGCGUGCAGGAUGAAGGCCUUCGGGUUGUAAACUGCUUUUGUACGGAACGAAAAGACUCUUUCUAAUAAAGAGGGUCCAUGACGGUACCGUAAGAAUAAGCACCGGCUAACUACGUGCCAGCCGCCGCCGUAA